UAGAAGAUGAAUACGAUAUAUUUCCAUAGUUAAAUACGUUAACAACAUAUUUUCAACGUGAAUCACGAACAUUGUAUGACUGUAUAAAGCAAAUGAAGCUCGUCACAAAGCGUCUAAUGUUUUCAAAACUUAAUUUACGUGAAAUUUCAAACAACAAUAUUACACGAGUGCUUCAAAGUCAUUGAAUUCGUUCCACAGAAACAUCACCUCGUAUUUAUAAACACAUGGCAGAAUUGGUUAACUGGAGAGACGACAGUCAUGUCAUGAUCAAGAUAAUAAUUAUUCAUUAUCCUUCUAUUUACCUCACUAUCUUCACUUGGCCUUCGAUAGCAGCAUCCAGUAUGGGGGCAUUUCCGGAUCCAUUCCAAUCCAAUUGAUCGAUAUCAAUAUCUGCUUCAUCAUUUUGGAGUAAUUCUGUCAGUGCUUUAACAUCUCCCGUUUUGAUGCUCUCCCUUAACAAAUCGUGAUAAGAAACCGGCUCGUUUUCAACGUUUUUAUUUUCCAGUUUCAUAUUAUUGAUAUUGAUGAAAGCGCGUAACUAUAUCAAAUAAUAGCUAACAAAAAAGAUUAUAUCAUUUUAAAAUGCCGAAUAAAACGAAAAACACUUGAACGAAUAAUUAAAUUUAAAAAUGUACGGAUUAAUUUACAAUUAAAGGUAUAAAAUUCGAUAAUCAACCUUCCACCAACCGACGGUUCAAACAAUGUACUGACGACUAACGUCCACAGUUUUACACACUGUACACUGUUGCCCACACCUUAAUCAACAACGACUACCACACGUCACACAUUCGCAAUCGACUGAAUCAGUGAAUCACUUGCUAUGUUGCAGGGGAAGCGACCUGCAGACUCACAACACACGUGAACAAGUGAAUCAACAUAUUGUUGUUCGCUACAGGUUGUUGUCUUCGUCACUCAAAUGCCAAUGGCAAUUGGGAAUUCGGAGUUUCAUUCAUAUUUUUUUCUCUCUCUUUCUACAGCUUCAUUUGAUCUACCUAUAAGAGAUCUGAAUACUGGAUUCUACUAUGUUGCCAGAUUAGACGACUUCGGCAGUUCGGCUCCAAAUAGUUAGAAAAGGAGGACUGAAGAGAGUACUUUUUUGAUUUUUCUUCUAUCCUUUGACCACAAGUAAAAGUUGAGGCUUCUAUCAUAAAAAAUUGUUCGAUUUAAAUUUAAUUUUCCCCCCAUUUUUUCAUCCAUCUUUCUUUCAAUUUAGCAAAAAAUAAUGCAUUGAGUGGAUUGUCUGAUAAGUAUCUUGAUCUUGCUGGAACUUUCAAUCAUAGAACUUGAGUUGUUCACUAAUUUCACUUUUCGAUAUUUUCAUGUUUGUGGUUUUCUGCUGAAUAGUAUUCACUAAAACUCUUUUCAGAUUUCUCACGGUCAGUUAAAAUCAAGGUAUCUAGUCGACCCUAUACUGAAACAAUAGAACUGAGCACCUUAUAAUAGGUUUAUGAUUUUUCAAUUUUAAAAGAUAAUAAUGAAAAGUUAAAAUUGCAUUAAUCCUGCGUAAAGAUUUUUUUCAUAAUUUCGCAGGAGUUAGUACCUACUAUGUAGUCACCGCUGGAGCAAGCCAUAAAAUUAUACGACAACGACAUGACAAUUUUCACGAUCCAACAACAAAAUAUACUCAACACAGACUAUUUGAAGAAUUAUUAUUAUAACCAUGAAGUGCUCAACGCCACUUCAACACGACUGGUACACAAGGUGUCCAAUUAGGCUGAACUUUACUCUUAAAUUUUUUUCAGGAUAAUUCCAAAUAAUCCGAAUUCCGAACGUAAUAAGGUGAUGUCCAUUUUCACUCAGCCCAUUCCAAUUCAAAUAUUUCACAUCGUACAAAAAAAUCAUGUCCAAUAAAUUCGGAACUUGUGAGGGGAAAAAAUGGAAUCAGAAGUCCACUGAAUUGAUCGAGCCUACUGUGCAACAUGAAGAACAUUUUUGAAAUGAAUUUUCCAUCAAAUAACUUUCAACAUAACUACGUAGGUACCAUACUUAGCUACAUAUUACAUGAUAAUCAAAAAACGUAAAUUGUAUCACUCAACGCAACAAUUUCUCACAUAACUGGAUACCAAAAAUAACGAUUCAAUGAUUGUACGUAGAAUUGUAUUUAUUACCUCCUAAAAUUUAAUUUCAAUAUACAUACCAUUCAUUGGAAUAAAUAUAAUAAAAUGUUUUUAUAACGCAUUUCUUAAACAAAAAUCUAUCGAUUUGUAUCAAAUCGAACACACGUCUAGAAUUCCACUCAGUUCUAAUAUUACAAAUAUCAACUAAAGUAGAAAGAAAAAAACUGCGGUAAUCACCUACCAUUAGAUGUGCUUCAAAAUCAAGAAGUCGUCUAAUCAAAUUUCAGAUGAUGACAAAUUAAAAUUGAAUAGAAUUUAGGAAGAAAUAACACGGCUACAUCAUUUUAAAAUGGCGGUAUGGCAGUUAUGAAAUAUGAUAU